ACGGAGGGUGCGAGCGUUGUCCGGAAUCACUGGGCGUAAAGGGCGCGUAGGCGGCCUGGUAAGUAGGGGGUGAAAUCCUGCGGCUUAACCGCAGGGCUGCCUUCUAAACUGUCAGGCUCGAGCACGGUAGAGGCAGAUGGAAUUCCCGGUGUAGCGGUGGAAUGCGUAGAGAUCGGGAAGAACAUCAGUGGCGAAGGCGGUCUGCUGGGCCUGAUCUGACGCUGAGGCGCGAAAGCGUGGGGAGCAAACAGGA
rnacentral:rRNA from 1 species